UACGUAGGGUGCGAGCGUUGUCCGGAUUUAUUGGGCGUAAAGAGCUCGUAGGCGGUUUGUCGCGUCGGCCGUGAAAUCUCCACGCUUAACGUGGAGCGUGCGGUCGAUACGGGCAGACUUGAGUUCGGUAGGGGAGACUGGAAUUCCUGGUGUAGCGGUGAAAUGCGCAGAUAUCAGGAGGAACACCGAUGGCGAAGGCAGCCAUCUGGACCGACACUGACGCUGAGGCGCGAAAGCGUGGGGAGCAAACAGG
rnacentral:rRNA from 1 species